CUGUGCAGCCCAUGUUGGAAAAAUGAGCUGUGUUGUGUCACAGACGAAAAAGAGAAAAUUGAGACAUAAUAACAAAUAUUUUAGAUUUUAAUCUCCAGUUUUAUCAGUCUCACGCAUAUAAUUGCUGAUUUUAUAUUUAGAUAUAGAUUUAAACGGUAGAAUUGUUGUAACUAUGUGAUUUCGUUCUCGACUACAAACACAUUGUUUUAUUGGGAUUUUUUUGUAAGUUUCGUCACGUUUCUUGUCAUUAUACAUGUAAUUUUGUGAUCUAACGACUAGCCAUGAAUAAGAUGAAUCUGUAAUAAAUCUGAUUUUCACGUAAAAGAGCCGAAUUUGUUCAAAAUGUAGAUGAGGAAAUGUGUCUUUUGUUCAUCCUGUUUCGCUUUGUUUUGGCCAACA
rnacentral:lncRNA from 1 species